rnacentral:rRNA from 1 species
UACGUAGGGUCCGAGCGUUGUCCGGAAUUACUGGGCGUAAAGAGCUCGUAGGUGGUUUGUCGCGUUGUUCGUGAAAACUCACAGCUCAACUGUGGGCGUGCGGGCGAUACGGGCAGACUGGAGUACUGCAGGGGAGACUGGAAUUCCUGGUGUAGCGGUGGAAUGCGCAGAUAUCAGGAGGAACACCGGUGGCGAAGGCGGGUCUCUGGGCUAUAACUGACGCUCAUGCACGAAAGCGUGGGGAGCAAACAGG